UGCUGCCAGUCUGAUCCACUGCAGCUUUCUGAAUCCUGGCAAAACCAUUACAUCUAAAAAGUAUGCUCAGCAAAUGGAUGAGAUGCACAGAGAACUACAA